rnacentral:rRNA from 1 species
GACGAACGCUGGCGGCGUGCUUAACACAUGCAAGUCGAACGGACAGUCCCUGCUUUUGUGGGGUGCUCGAGUGGCGAACUGGUGAGUAACCCUUUAGUACCCUGCCCUUGACUUUGGGUUAACUUCAUGCCACUUGGGCUCAUACCGGAUAGGAUCUCCCGCUGCUUGGUGGGGGUUGGAAAGUUUCGGCGGUUGGGGAUGUACUCGCUCCUUAUCAGAUUGUUGAUGGGGUAGUGUAUUACCAAGGCUUGGAGAGGUAGCCGUGCUGCGAGGGUGACCGGACAAAUUGGGACUGGAAUAAGGCACGGACUACAACGGGAGGCAGCAGUGGGGAAGAGUGCACAAUGGGAGGAAGCAAGGUGCAGCAAAGCCGCGUGCGGGAUGACGGCCUGCGGGUUGGAAACCGAUUUUGCUUGUGACGAAGCGUGAGUGACGGUAAUGGGUAAAGAAGCACCGGCUAACUACGUG